rnacentral:rRNA from 1 species
AGUGAACGCUGGCGGCAGGCCUAACACAUGCAAGUCGAGCGGAUGAAGGGAGCUUGCUCCUGGAUUCAGCGGCGGACGGGUGAGUAAUGCCUAGGAAUCUGCCUGGUAGUGGGGGAUAACGUCCGGAAACGGGCGCUAAUACCGCAUACGUCCUGAGGGCGAAAGGGGGGGAUCUUCGGACCUCACGCUAUCAGAUGAGCCUAGGUCGGAUUAGCUAGUUGGUGGGGUAAAGGCCUACCAAGGCGACGAUCCGUAACUGGUCUGAGAGGAUGAUCAGUCACACUGGAACUGAGACACGGUCCAGACUCCUACGGGAGGCAGCAGUGGGGAAUAUUGGACAAUGGGCGAAAGCCUGAUCCAGCCAUGCCGCGUGUGUGAAGAAGGUCUUCGGAUUGUAAAGCACUUUUAGUGGGGAGGAAGGGCAGUAAGUUAAUACCUUGCUGUUUUGACGGUACCAACAGAAUAAGCACCGGCUAACUUCGUG